AAUUGCUUUUCUUCUAAGAGAUUGCUGCCAACAAAAAAUCCAAGAUGCUUACGGAGCUACUCAUGGAGGUGAAGCAAAUGUCACUGGACAUUUAGUUUACAAAGACUGUAAUCGCUAAAUCCUCCAUGAAUAUUCCUGGAGCGGGUCCUGAAUCACAUAGAGAAGAGCCCUGCAUGGUUCUGCCACUCACCAAUGAGGAGCAGUUUGAUGAGGAUGAAGCUGCACUGAAGGAGGAAACAGUCCGUCGAAUGAUGAACUACCCGCUUGGCAUUAGUCGGAGGGACCAAUGCCGAAAAUAUGAUCCGGCGAAUGCCAUCCGCUACCAUGGCAAACCGUGUAGCAUGCAUUUUUAACUGGGCGGGAAAGGGACAGAAGAGGGCCUUCAAGGACAUGUUAAUGCAGGACUGCAUGUUUGCGGCUGCUCGUCAAUUUGACCGCAAGUAGACUGAAUUGCAGUACAGGGGUAAACUGCAGAAGUGGCUGCGUUACGCACCUGAGAGGAGCGGCGGGGUGCCAAGAAAAGGCAAAGAGUUAUAAGGACAAAUGUUAUUGUAAUGUUCUUUAAUAUAGGGUUAAUUAGGG
ensembl:lncRNA